CUAACAAGGAUUCCCUUAGUAACGGCGAGUGAACAGGGAAAAGCCCAGCACCGAAGCCUGUGGCCAUUUGGCUACUAGGCAAUGUGGUGUUCAGGUUUUCCUGCGAAGGUACUGCUCCAUUCCAAGUCCGGCAAUGAGUACGGUCAUUUUACGUAGCCCAUAGAGGGUGAAAGGCCCGUUGGGGUGGAGGUGCAGUAAUGUCAGUGCCUUCCUAGGUAGACCUUGGAGUCGGGUUGUUUGAGAAUGCAGCCCAAAGUGGGUGGUAAACUCCAUCCAAGGCUAAAUACUAGCACGAGUCCGAUAGCAAACAAGUACCGUGAGGGAAAGUUGAAAAGUACUUUGAAGAGAGAGUAAACAGUGCGUGAAACCGCUCAGAGGUAAUCGGGUGGAGUUGAACUGUAAUCUCUGUGGAUUUAGCUGGUGAGUGUGGUUUGAGCUUGGUCAAAUUGGUCGAGACUCGGGGUCUGCUCAAUCGCAGGUCUUCACCUUUUGGUGCGGAUGUGUGAGGCACUUGUCACGUGUUACACGCUCCGGGUUAAUUCGGAUCAGCUUGCCAGUGCACUUUCACAGAGUGUUCACCACGACCGGCAUCGCCGUCUGGCUGUUGUGGUUAAACCGGCUCUGCAUUGUCCUUGUGGCUUUGUUUGGUCGGGAUGGCAGGUAGCUCGUGGGCUUGCCCGUGGUUCGCUGCGGGUUUAUGUCUUCGGGUGUAAUUGGCUGACCACAUCGGUUCUGUGCGGUAUGUCGGAGACGGCGGCUUGUGGUGUGUGCGUGCGUGCCAGUUGGCUGAUGCGUUCGGGUUUGGUUGUCACGUUGCUUGUGUUUACAGGCCUGAUGAUAGCCCGGAUGUGUUUGGUCGACGGUUGCGUGCGUGUCACUAUUCAGGGCCGAUAGUCUGUGGUGUUGCGGUAGACUUUCCACCUGACCCGUCUUGAAACACGGACCAAGGAGAGUAACAUGUGCGCGAGUCAUUGGGCGUAACGAAACCCAAAGGCGAAGUGAAAGUAAAGGUCUGGCUUGUCCGGGCUGAGGUGAGAUCUUGUCGCUUCUCACGCGUGGUAUCACCAAGCAUUGAGCGGCAGGCGCAUCACCGGCCCGUCCCAUGGUGUGGUGACAUCUUUCGAGUUGUUCAUCACCGGGGCGGAGCAUGAGCGCACAUGUUGAGACCCGAAAGAUGGUGAACUAUGCUUGCGCAGGUUGAAGCCAGAGGAAACUCUGGUGGAGGACCGCAGCGAUUCUGACGUGCAAAUCGAUCGUCAGACGUGAGUAUAGGGGCGAAAGACUAAUCGAACCA
rnacentral:rRNA from 1 species